rnacentral:rRNA from 2 species
ACUCUGGUAUUGAUUGGUGCUUGCAUCAUGAUUUACAUUUGAGUGAGUGGCGAACUGGUGAGUAACACGUGGGAAACCUGCCCAGAAGCGGGGGAUAACACCUGGAAACAGAUGCUAAUACCGCAUAACAACUUGGACCGCAUGGUCCGAGUUUGAAAGAUGGCUUCGGCUAUCACUUUUGGAUGGUCCCGCGGCGUAUUAGCUAGAUGGUGAGGUAACGGCUCACCAUGGCAAUGAUACGUAGCCGACCUGAGAGGGUAAUCGGCCACAUUGGGACUGAGACACGGCCCAAACUCCUACGGGAGGCAGCAGUAGGGAAUCUUCCACAAUGGACGAAAGUCUGAUGGAGCAACGCCGCGUGAGUGAAGAAGGGUUUCGGCUCGUAAAACUCUGUUGUUAAAGAAGAACAUAUCUGAGAGUAACUGUUCAGGUAUUGACGGUAUUUAACCAGAAAGCCACGGCUAACUACGUGCCAGCAGCCGCGGUAAUACGUAGGUGGCAAGCGUUGUCCGGAUUUAUUGGGCGUAAAGCGAGCGCAGGCGGUUUUUUAAGUCUGAUGUGAAAGCCUUCGGCUCAACCGAAGAAGUGCAUCGGAAACUGGGAAACUUGAGUGCAGAAGAGGACAGUGGAACUCCAUGUGUAGCGGUGAAAUGCGUAGAUAUAUGGAAGAACACCAGUGGCGAAGGCGGCUGUCUGGUCUGUAACUGACGCUGAGGCUCGAAAGUAUGGGUAGCAAACAGGAUUAGAUACCCUGGUAGUCCAUACCGUAAACGAUGAAUGCUAAGUGUUGGAGGGUUUCCGCCCUUCAGUGCUGCAGCUAACGCAUUAAGCAUUCCGCCUGGGGAGUACGGCCGCAAGGCUGAAACUCAAAGGAAUUGACGGGGGCCCGCACAAGCGGUGGAACAUGUGGUUUAAUUCGAAGCUACGCGAAGAACCUUACCAGGUCUUGACAUACUAUGCAAAUCUAAGAGAUUAGACGUUCCCUUCG